rnacentral:rRNA from 1 species
UACGGGGGGGGACGAGUGUUACUCAUAGUGACUGGGCGUAAAGGGUACGUAGGCGGCACUUUAAAUUUCAAUGCAAGGUCCAUGGCGCAACCGUGGUGAUUUGUAAGCACUGUAGUGCUUGAGUUUGGCAGUAGGGUUGGCGGUACUCUUGGGGUAGGGAUUGAAAAACCGGCAAAACCCCAAAGGGGGACGUCACAAUGGCGAAGGCAGC